GUGGUGCCUUUGGUGGUAAUAGGGGAGUCAGUCCAAUUCCUUCAGAGAAAGGUGUCUUCCCUUUGGAUCAUAUGCAUUUGUGUGACCAGGCAGAAGGGGAAUAUCUCAAUUGUCUGAAAACUUCGGGCCACCAAUCUGAAAAAUGUAGACACUUCUCAAAAUUGUACCUGAAGUGGCGGAUGGAAAAGUCUUCUAGGCAUUUUCAAUAUACUUGGAGACAGUUGCAAUUAUUCCACAAUUAGUUUUGCUCCAACGAAGUGGACAUGUGGACAAUUUGACAUAGUAUUACGCUGUUCACAAUUAUGAUGCUAGUAAUUUAUGGACUAACAAGCGUUUACUAUAGAAUCAUGAUUUUGGCAUAACAUGCCUGGGAAAGGUGAAUAUAAACUAUGAGAAUGAUCUGGAUACGAUGAGCAACAUGCAAGCACCAGGUCUGGCAUGUGUGCCCCGCGCUGAACUAUUGAUCUAUAUGCAGCUGGAACUAUAGAAAGAGAGCCAAAAGCUCCUACACAAUCUUCCAAAGCUAGACUCCAAUGAGGUCAUGAGAGCAGC